rnacentral:rRNA from 1 species
GACGAACGCUGGCGGCGUGCUUAACACAUGCAAGUCGAACGAUGAACCCGGAGCUUGCUCUGGGGGAUUAGUGGCGAACGGGUGAGUAACACGUGAGUAACCUGCCCUGGACUCUGGGAUAAGCGUUGGAAACGACGUCUAAUACCGGAUAGGACCUUGGAUCGCAUGAUCUGGGGUGGAAAGUUUUUUCGGUCUGGGAUGGACUCGCGGCCUAUCAGCUUGUUGGUGAGGUAAUGGCUCACCAAGGCGUCGACGGGUAGCCGGCCUGAGAGGGUGACCGGCCACAAUGGGACUGAGACACGGCCCAGACUCCUACGGGAGGCAGCAGUGGGGAAUAUUGCACAAUGGGCGAAAGCCUGAUGCAGCAACGCCGCGUGCGGGAUGACGGCCUUCGGGUUGUAAACCGCUUUUAGUAGGGAAGAAGGGCUUCGGCUUGACGGUACCUGCAGAAAAAGGACCGGCUAACUACGU